CUAUGAAUCCGAGAUUAUCCGAAGCGGUGAAUUUCUACCUACGCAAAAGUAAUGAGAUAUGAUGUCAUAUUUUUCUUAAAUUUUAGAUUAAUUAUUUGUGCUUUCUUCUAGGCUUGGGUAGGUUUAGAUUUGGUAUCUUGCAUGUGGGGUUAAAAGGUUUAAUCUGAUUUUUUUUCAUUGUAUAUUUUCAAAAUUUUAAAAUCUACACAUGCUGCCUACCCUGUUUUCUAUCACCUAUCGCAUCCUUUAUGCGAUUGGCUUAUAGGGCAUAAUUCUUUCACAGGUUGCAUUUAAAAAUUUUUCUAUUCAUCUACAUGAUUAAGGAUCAAAUUCUUACCUAAUUAACAGCAGAACCAGAGAUCAAAUCUCAAAUAAUCUGAUAUAAACCUUCACGGAGGCCUGGAUGUACAGACCUUCUACUUCGAAUGCAUGUCAGACGCCGCAAAAAAGCAGGAUGAACUUCAAUCCAAUUACCUUCGCAACUCAAUCAAUCGGGAGAUGAGAUAUGCUAGUGUGACACCUCACACUAGUAGGUGGGACACCCAAGAUGGUUCCAUGCCCAAGGGAAGAGGGGCGGCAACAAGAGGGGAGGGCAAGGGGGGAGAAGGGACCUCUCUCUUCUCACGCCUCUCUCUCUCUUUCUCUCUUCUCUUGAUCUGAUUUGUUUGCUAUUCAUUCAUAGGUAGAGGCCCUCUCUAUUUAUAGAUAAUUCUCAUAACCCAAUAAGUAUAAGAGUCUUAACUCAAAUCUGAUUUGAAUCAGUCCAAGACUCAUGAAAGAAAGAUUCCUAUAUGAGAUAUAAUUGCCAUCACAUAUAACUACCAAUUUACACCGACUCCCUCACCCACAUGGGAUGCCCCAAAUGAGCAAAGCUCCAGGUGUUGGUCAGCCCAUAAUAAAAAAAAUCUAGUGCAAGUGGGAAUACUCAUAUCUCAUAAAAAAUAAAUCUAAUUCGAAUCAAAUUCGAAGCUGGUUCGAAAUAAUUUUGAAAGGCUGUCAAUCCCAAACUCUUUAGGACUUUUGUAUCAAAUCUAACUUAGAUUUUGAAUCCGAUUAAGAUUAAUUAAUUCAGAUCUAAUCAGAAAUUAAUUAGCACUUAAAUUCAAUCUUUCAUAUGCUCCAUGAAUCAUAGAUCAAAAACUGUUCAUCCUCGG
rnacentral:lncRNA from 1 species